rnacentral:rRNA from 1 species
ACGCUCGACACCUACUGGAGGCAGCAGUGGGGAAUAUUGCACAAUGGGGGAAACCCUGAUGCAGCAACGCCGCGUGAAGGAAGACGGUUUUCGGAUUGUAAACUUCUGUUCUUAGUGAAGAUAGUGACGGUAGCUAAGGAGCAAGCCACGGCUAACUACGUGCCAGCGGCCGCGGUAAUCUGAGCGGGCUGGCAAGGC